CCUACGGGGGGCUGCAGUGGGGAAUAUUGGACAAUGGGCGAAAGCCUGAUCCAGCCAUGCCGCGUGUGUGAAGAAGGCCUUCGGGUUGUAAAGCACUUACAGUGGGGAAGAAAGCCUUGGGGCUAAUACCCUCGAGGAAGGACAUCACCCACAGAAGAAGCACCGGCUAACUCCGUGCCAGCAGCCGCGGUAAUACGGAGGGUGCGAGCGUUAAUCGGAAUUACUGGGCGUAAAGCGCGCGUAGGCGGUCUGAUAAGCCGGUUGUGAAAGCCCCGGGCUCAACCUGGGAACGGCAUCCGGAACUGUCAGGCUAGAGUGCAGGAGAGGAAGGUAGAAUUCCCGGUGUAGCGGUGAAAUGCGUAGAGAUCGGGAGGAAUACCAGUGGCGAAGGCGGCCUUCUGGACUGACACUGACGCUGAGGUGCGAAAGCGUGGGUAGCAAACAGGAUUAGAUACCCUAGUAGUC
rnacentral:rRNA from 1 species